UCACCUUGGUCUGGUACCAGGACUCAGCCUCAGCCCGGCUCCUCUGAGCAAUCUCCUCGUAUUGGGCCUUGACCUCAGCGAUGAUGCUGUCCAGGUCCAGGUUGCGGUUGUUGUCCAUGGACAGCACCACAGAUGUGUCUGAGAUGUGGGUCUGCAUCUGGGACAGCUCCUGCAGAACAGAAGGUCAUAAGAUCAACUUCACUUCCGAUAUUUACAGAGAUAC
rnacentral:lncRNA from 1 species